rnacentral:lncRNA from 1 species
CCGUCGAAUCGGACGGCCAGAUCAGCGGUGACUCCCUCCCUCCCGUCCCGCCGAUGCACUUCCUCCGCUGCUCCUCUACGCCAGCUCCUUCCAGUAGCCUCAAACCCUAGCCGCCGCCGCCGCCGCCGCGGCCCUACAAGCAGCUUCCCUCCCUCCUCCGCCGCCUCCUCCUCUACGCCCUCCCUCCUCCGCUGCCCUCCCGUCCCACCAUCACUGCCGCCGCCGCCUCCCUGCUGUUUCGCAUCNNNNNNNNNNNNNNNNNNNNNNNNNNNNNNNNNNNNNCUCGCGAGUUCGCCCGCCCGCCCGCCGCGCGCCUGCGCCGAUCUCCAUCCCGCGAGACGGGAGCAGUGCCGCCACCCCCGCUGCUUCCGCCGCCCCGCCGGUGAGCGCCCGUAUCCUCAGAUAUACUCAGAUAUGCUCCGUAGCUUCAGUUCUUCGCUGGUAGUGCUAAUAUCAGUGGUGCUAGUUUGUUCUUCCCCCAAAGAAAUUUGGCCCCCAUGCCCCACGAUGGUUUGGUCCGCCCCCUAAACACGGUAUUUGUUUUUGUUAUAUAUGCAAAUUCAGUUAGUUCAAAAUCUGUAUGCGGAUUGCGUGUUAACCUGCCCGCUAGCUAGUCUAGGUUCUGAACCCCAUCAUCCCAUGGUUUGAAUUUGAUGACUAGUACAUGCUUGUUUAGGGCACGAUAUUGGUUUAGUUGAUCCCAUUGGACGUGGUACCCAUGGUAUGCGUUUAAAAAUUUCUGCGUGUUUGUAGUUUCCAGCCAUGCCGGGGUUUAGUUUUAUACUUGUAUUUGUGUUAAGUUCCUGUAGUAGAGAUUGAUGCUUUGUUGAGAUUUCGAUGCACUAGGGGUAGCGGAUUGGAUGUGUGAACCGUUUCAGAAUUUAUGGGACAAACAAGAAGAGCUAAAAAUGAAGUAUUUUUGGGUCUGAGGUCAUAUCUGUUCAUUUAUCUUAGUAAGAAAGAACAGCAAUUAUAGGGGCAUAUUGAUUACAUUAGUCUAUUAAUUUGAGUUUGUUUGACAACAUAAUCAAAUAUCAUUAUAAGUGUUAAUCACCUGCUUGAAUGUUGAUGAUAUGACCCAAGUAAUUUAGUACCAAUGUCAUGUAUUUUUUCUAUUGUAUUCCCAUAUUUUUAUGAUUUAUUCUGAUAUACUGAUUAAUUUGGGCAUUUUUCUGAUUAUUUUCCUGAAUUAUCCUGAUUUUCUGUGAUUUUUUGGAUUUAUUUACGAAUUUUCCUGUAUUUUUUAGAAUUAUCCGGAUUUAUGAGCCAAUUUUCCUGAAUUUUCGUGAAUUCCUAGACAUUUUAUAAUUUAAUUACGAUUUUUCUUACUUAUUUCCUGAUUUAAAAUUAAUUAUGUCAUUUUCAAAAUUAUUUACUGAUUUUCCAUAUUUAUUUACUGCUCUACAUUUAUUUCUGUCAUUUAUUUGCUAACAUGGGCAAAACAGUCUUUUUACACCGCCAUUUCACACUGUUAAGUCUCCAUCCAUCCAAAAUGGCGUGUAGGUAAAAGAAAGUUGGGUCGAUGGCAUAUAGGUGUCUAUAAACUUUUUAGUGGCACGCAAGUAACCACCAACUUUUUUAAUGACAUAUAGGUAGGACUCUCAAUCGGGUGCCGCCUCCUACUGACGCCCUCCAUUCAUCGCCGCCUUCCAUCCCGCCGCCGCCUCCUCCACGCCUCACCUCCAACGCCGCCCUACCAUCCACCGCCGCCCUGCCGUCUCGCCUCCACCGGGUGCCGCCCCCUCUACGCC